GCGGAAGGAUCAUUACAGAGUUCAUGCCCUAACGGGUAGACCUCCCACUUUUGUGUUCUUAUACUAUGUUGCUUUGGCGACCCGCCGCAAGGCUCCUGGCUCUGGCUGGGGUGCGGUCGCCAGACGACCCCUAAAUUCUGAAUGUUAACGUCGUCUGAGUACUAUAUAAUAGUUAAAACUUUCAACAACGGAUCUCUUGGUUCUGGCAUCGAUGAAGAACGCAGCGAAAUGCGAUAAGUAAUGUGAAUUGCAGAAUUCAGUGAAUCAUCGAAUCUUUGAACGCACAUUGCGCCCCUUGGUAUUCCGGGGGGCAUGCCUGUUCGAGCGUCAUUUCAACCCUCAAGCUCUGCUUGGUAUUGGGCCCUACCGGCAACGGCAGGCCUUAAAAUCAGUGGCGGUGCCCUAAGGCCCUGAACGUAGUACUUUUCUCGUUACAGGCCCCUUCGGGUGACUUGCCAGCAACCCCAAUUUUCUAUGGUUGACCUCGGAUCAGGUAGCGAUACCCGCUGAACUUAAGCAUA
rnacentral:rRNA from 1 species